rnacentral:rRNA from 1 species
GCCCUGUUUAAACAAAAACAUGUCUUUUUGAUUAGAAAUUGUAAAGUCUGACCUGCCCACUGAUUAAAUUUGAAGGGCCGCGGUAUUUUGACCGUGCAAAGGUAGCAUAAUCAUUAGUCUUUUAAUUGAAGGCUGGAAUGAAUGGUUUAACGAGGUAUUAACUGUCUCAUUAUAAUUUUUUGAAUUUAACUUUUUAGUUAAAAGGCUAAAAUGAAAUUAUAGGACGAGAAGACCCUAUAGAGCUUUAUAUUUAUAUUUUAAAAUUAUUUUUGGGAUUUUUAAUUGUUUUAUGUAAUUUUGAAGUAAAUUUAUUUGGUUGGGGUGACUUGAAGAUUUAUAAAACUCUUUAUGUAUAUAAACAUAGAUUUAUGGAAAAUUGAUCCAUUUAUAGUGAUUAAAAGAUUAAGUUACCUUAGGGAUAA